rnacentral:rRNA from 1 species
UACGUAGGGUGCGAGCGUUAAUCGGAAUUACUGGGCGUAAAGCGUGCGCAGGCGGUUUUGUAAGCCAGGUGUGAAAUCCCCGGGCUCAACCCUGGGAAUGGCAUUUGGGACUGCAAGGCUGGAGUGUGGCAGAGGAGACUGGAAUUCCUGGUGUAGCAGUGAAAUGCGUAGAUAUCAGGAGGAAUACCGAUGGCGAAGGCAGGUCUCUGGGCUGACACUGACGCUCAUGCACGAAAGCGUGGGGAGCAAACAGG